CACGCUGUAAAUGAUGGGUACUUGACGUUGGGAGUAUCAACUCUCCCAGUGUCGUAGCUAACGCAUUAAGUACCCCGCCUGGGGAGUACGAUCGCAAGGUUGAAACUCAAAGGAAUUGACGGGGACCCGCACAAGCAGCGGAGCAUGUGGUUUAAUUCGAAGCAACGCGAAAAACCUUACCAAGACUUGACAUCGUAUGAUCAUCAUAGAAAUAUGGUUUCUCUUCGGAGCAUAUAGACAGAUGG
rnacentral:rRNA from 1 species